rnacentral:rRNA from 1 species
AGAGUUUGAUCCUGGCUCAGGACGAACGCUGGCGGCAUGCUUUACACAUGCAAGUCGAACGGCAGCACGGGGGCAACCCUGGUGGCGAGUGGCGAACGGGUGAGUAAUGCAUCGGAACGUAUCCUUGAGUGGGGGAUAACGCAGCGAAAGUUGUGCUAAUACCGCAUAAUCUCUGAGGAGGAAAGGCGGGGAUCACGUAAGUGACCUGUCGCUGAAAGAGCGGCCGAUGGUCGAUUAGCUAGUUGGCGGGGUAAAAGCCCACCAAGGCGAUGAUCGAUAGCGGGUCUGAGAGGACGAUCCGUCACACUGGGACUGAGACACGGCCCAGACUCCUACGGGAGGCGAC